rnacentral:rRNA from 1 species
UACAGAGACUGCAAGCGUUAUUCGGAUUCACUGGGCGUAAAGGGUGCGCAGGCGGUCGGGUGUGUCAGAUGUGAAAUCCCGAGGCUCAACCUCGGAACUGCGUCUGAAACUACUCGACUAGAGUACUGGAGAGGGUAACGGAAUUCACGGUGUAGCAGUGAAAUGCGUAGAUAUCGUGAGGAACACCAGAGGCGAAGGCGGUUACCUGGACAGGUACUGACACUCAACUACGAAAGCGUGGGGAGCAAACAGG